rnacentral:rRNA from 1 species
AUGUCCAAGGUCAAUAUGGAAAUUCUUUCAGAGGUUUUCCCUUACUUUGUCCGUGUCAACAAACAAUUCGAAAUACCUCGACUUUUUCAGAAAAGGUCCGAGUCAAAUAGCAAUGAUUCGAAGCACUUCUUUUUCCAUUACACUAUUUCGGAAACCUAA